UCCGGUUUAUCACCGGCAGUCUCCUUAGAGUCCCCACCUUAACGUGCUGGUAACUAAGGAUAAGGGUUGCGCUCGUUACGGGACUUAACCCAACAUCUCACGACACGAGCUGACGACAGCCAUGCAGCACCUGUGUUCUGGUUCCCGAAGGCACCCCCUGAUCUCUCAAGGGUUCCAGACAUGUCAAGGCCAGGUAAGGUUCUUCGCGUUGCAUCGAAUUAAACCACAUACUCCACCGCUUGUGCGGGCCCCCGUCAAUUCCUUUGAGUUUCAGUCUUGCGACCGUACUUCCCAGGCGGCGAACUUAACGCGUUAGCUUCGAUACUGAGUGCCAAGUUGCACCCAACAUCCAGUUCGCAUCGUUUAGGGCGUGGACUAC
rnacentral:misc_RNA from 1 species